rnacentral:rRNA from 1 species
UACAGAGGGAUAAUCAUGUGAAAACGUGACUAAUACCGCAUGUCAUUUGUUUGAAGGCAUCUUCGACAAAGAAAAGGAGCAAUCCGGUAUGAGAUGGGCCCGCAUCUGAUUAGCUAGUUGGUGAGAUAACAGCCCACCAAGGCGACGAUCAGUAGCCGACCUGAGAGGGUGAUCGGCCACAUUGGGACUGAGACACGGCCCAA